rnacentral:misc_RNA from 1 species
UUAAGUUCAGCGGGUAUCCCCACCUGAUCCGAGGUCAACCUUUAUGAGAGGUUUUUGCGGCGCGAGGGCGGUCCCAUCCCCGUGGCGAUAUGUCUCCACGACGCCGGGGGAGAGCACGCUCGGCCGGUGCAUUUGGGGCGUGCGGCAUGCGCAUCGCCCAAUACCAAGCGAGGCUUGAUUGGUGAAAUGACGCUCGAACA